rnacentral:rRNA from 1 species
UCGGGAAUUUUGGGCAAUGGGGGAAACCCUGACCCAGCAACGCCGCGUGAAGGAUGGAAGUAUUUCGGUAUGUAAACUUCGAAAGAAUAGGAAGAAUAAAUGACGGUACUAUUUAUAAGGUCCGGCUAACUACGUGCCAGCAGCCGCGGUAAUACGUAGGGACCAAGCGUUGUUCGGAUUUACUGGGCGUAAAGGGCGCGUAGGCGGCAUGACAAGUCACUUGUGAAAUCUCUGGGCUUAACCCAGAACGGCCAAGUGAUACUGUCGCGCUAGAGUGCAGAAGGGGCAAUCGGAAUUCUUGGUGUAGCGGUGAAAUGCGUAGAUAUCAAGAGGAACACCUGAGGUGAAGACGGGUUGCUGGGCCGACACUGACGCUGAGGCGCGAAAGCUAGGGUAGCAAACGGGAUU